rnacentral:rRNA from 1 species
GAAUAUUGGACAAUGGGCGAAAGCCUGAUCCAGCCAUGCCGCGUGUGUGAAGAAGGCCUUUUGGUUGUAAAGCACUUUAAGCGAGGAGGAGGCUACUUAGAUGAAUACUCUAGGAGAGUGGACGUUACUCGCAGAAUACGCACCGGCUAACUCUGUGCCAGCAGCCGCGGUGAUACAGAGUGUGCGAGCGUUAAUCGGAUUUACUGCGCGUAAAGCGUGCGUAGGCGGCUUCGUAAGUCGGAUGUGAAAUCCCUGCGCUUAACUUGGGAAUUGCAUUCGAUACUGGGAAGCUAGAGUGUGGGAGAGGAUGGUAGAAUUCCAGGUGUAGCGGUGAAAUGCGUAGAGAUCUGGAGGAAUACCGAUGGCGAAGGCAGCCAUCUGGCCUAAUACUGACGCUGGGGUACGAAAGCAUGGGGAGCAAAC